AGUGAACGCUGGCGGUAGGCCUAACACAUGCAAGUCGAACGGCAGCACAGAGGAGCUUGCUCCUUGGGUGGCGAGUGGCGGACGGGUGAGGAAUACAUCGGAAUCUACUCUGUCGUGGGGGAUAACGUAGGGAAACUUACGCUAAUACCGCAUACGACCUACGGGUGAAAGCAGGGGAUCUUCGGACCUUGCGCGAUUGAAUGAGCCGAUGUCGGAUUAGCUAGUUGGCGGGGUAAAGGCCCACCAAGGCGACGGUCCGUAGCUGGUCUGAGAGGAUGAGCAGCCACACUGGAACUGAGACACGGUCCAGACUCCUACGGGAGGCAGCAGUGGGGAAUAUUGGACAAUGGGCGCAAGCCUGAUUCAGCCAUACCGCGUGGGUGAAGAAGGCCUUCGGGUUGUAAAGCCCUUUUGUUGGGAAAGAAAUCCAUCUGGUUAAUACCCGGGUGGGAUGACGGUACCCAAAGAAUAAGCACCGGCUAACUUCGUGCCAGCCGCCGCCGUAA
rnacentral:rRNA from 1 species